rnacentral:lncRNA from 1 species
UUUUUUUUCAGGACUACUGCUUUCCUCUUUCACUUUAUUUAGGACUCUCCUUAAAACUUGCUUUGAUGCCUAAGAUGUUCAGGAAUCCCCUGAGCAGCGGCUGUGAUGCUCUGUGCUUAGGUCCACACUGCCUUGCUGCUAUGUUGCACUCCACCAUCUUUUUUAUGUUCACCUGUUGUUUGUCCUCUAGAAUUUGUAUUUCAAACCCUGUGGGUCAAAGUCUGCUUGCGUUACGUGCAUAUGCAGCACCUACUGCUGUGAAUUGGGGUCAUGCUGUCUGUCACCUAGUUCGUAAUUGGUUUUCUGGUCCAUGCUCUGAAGAUGACUCUACUCUGCUCAGUCCUAUCUGGGCUGCCGAUUUGCUGAUAUGGCAUUCCUUUGCUUUUCUCAUUUUCACCUGCACGGCAGUCCAAGUAAGCUGUUAAGUACAACCGGGAUAGAGCAGGGUAUUAUUGUCUUUGUCUGAAUACACAGAUGCAUUCUGACACCUCCUAAUCCUCAAGGCCAGGAUGUCAAUAAAAACUGGAAAUGCUGUGGCAUCAUCAUAUCUCACCUUCAGUAUAAUCCUAACGCAGGGUCUGUGGCCUUGGAUAUGUGAUGGAUGAGUUUUUAUCACUCCGUUCAGUUGCUUUAUAAUGGCAUACAAUGAUUGUGCUGUCAAUAAGUAGCUAUAACCUAUGUCUGCUCUACAGGUCAUUCUGCUCCCUUAACUGCCUCUCUACAGCCCUCAGCCCUAAAUUUUAAAUCUGUGCAAGAAAUAAUGCGUGCCUGUGAAAUUAAGGCUUAUAUUCCUCUUGUUAUUAAUCAGCUCUUCCCUAGCAGCCUCUGAUUAUGCUCCACACUGCAUUAGCAUGACUGCAAUGCUCGAGAUCCAUCUCCCCAUCACGUCCUUUUCUUUCUCUGAUUCCUUUUCUAACUUCUAGCAGAAGAAGGGCCAUUCAUUCAGAAGGUGGCAGGUGUGAAGUGCUGGAGUUUAACAGAAAAAAAAGAAUAGGCGAACAAUGCAUUUAUUAGACUAUUUCAUGUGAAGAGGAAAGGAAGGGGUUUCAAAGAAUGGGGAAGAAAAAUUAGAGGGCAGUGUGACUAGAUCUGAAUUUAGAUUAAGGUUAAGCAACUUCUGAAAGUUUAUUUUCUUUUUUUUCCCCUCCAGCUAAGGACAGCCCUUGAAGAUGUCAACAGACAAAAGAGAAAUAAGCCUAAAUCUAAAUCCUGGUCUUAAUAUACUGAAACCUCUGGGAAUCCAGAUCUAGCUCCACUCAGGUGCAUUGCAUUUCAUAGGCAGGGCAGAGACAGAGUUUUGGUUUAUUUUUUUCCCCUCUUUUUCCUGAGGAAAGGAAACAAAAGGGAACACUUUGGGUCACCCUAAUGAACCAGAUUAUGACAUUGUUUUAGCACUGUUUUACCUAACAUCUCAAGUAAGAUGUUAGGCAGCCUGAGGCACUUGUAGGUCAUGGUGCCCCCAAGCACCACCCGGAGCACCCACCUCUGCCCACAGGGCAGGGCCUCCAGCCCAGCACCCCGCCUAGUCCCACCCAAGCUGUGCUCCUUGGGCCCCUCCUCCUGGACGACCUUGGGCCCACAUCACAGCCUGGGUUUCUGCACCAUCUGUUGCUAAUCCUGUCUGAAACCAUCUAAACCCUGGUCCUGACUCACCCCAGUCAUGGCACCCUGGAGCCUUCAGGAUGGUGUCCCAAUAGUGAUGGUGUGUGUAGCAGCGUCACCCCAGCUCCCAGAUUGGCCCCCAAAUACAGAGCAACUCCACCAGCGCUGCAUCCUGGCACAGAAGUAAAAGCAAGCAGAGAAUGAGGAAAGUUGGUCAGCGGUGCUUUGCUGCUAUGACUCAUGGGAGAACUCUUCUUUCAGAGAGAAGAUGGAGGAUCUCCAGCAAAGCACUUCGAAUUCAGUGAGACGCAAUAUUAUCUAAUCACCUGGAAAUGUAUCUGAACUAUUUAUGAUGUGUGGGAGGUCUUGGGACCUGUCUUUGUAGUCUUCUCUAGGUGACUGGUUUUGGUCAGUGUUGGAGACAGGGUACUAGACUAAGUGAGCUUUUGAGCUGACCCACUGCAGCUGUGUUUGUCUUAAGAUAUGAACAGUUUUGAUGAGUCUUACUGAUCAGCACUGGAGUUGAUGCGGCUCUGCUCUGAGUACAGAAGGGGGUUUAGGGAUGGAGGGCAAGUACCAAGGCCUUUGGCACCUCUUGGUAAACUGUUCUCACAGCAAAACACACACCUACAUAUUAGAUGUUCCCUGCUGAGAUGUUCACUGAGAUAAUAUUUGGCCUCCAGUGGCCCCUAGCCUGCUACAGGCAUUACUUCUGCGCUUACCUUGGGACUUGAACAGUGUGUUUUGUUGUAUUUGUGGGUCAUCUAAAGGAGAGGGAGAUCUCUCUGAACUUCAGGGUGAUAGUACAAGACUCACUGGUGAUCUGCUCCUGAAGAGUCUUUUCCCCUCUUUCCUUCCCCACUUAGUGGAAAGAGUAUAAGCUCAAAAAACUGAAGAACUCCCAUUAUAUUGCACAAAAAAUCUCUUUUCUCUAAUACAGUUUGAAAAAAAAUCAAUUCUUAAAGAAAAUGGCAAUACCUGAAUUAUGAUUAGCUGGAACAUUUUAGAAGGUAGAUUUUACCCAUUAAGGUCAGGGAUGUAGAAACGCUCCCUAGUUCUUAUAAUAAAUAACCAUGACACCUUUCUAAGUGUUUCCACCACUAUAGCUUGUGUUUUCUGAAGUGCCUAUGUGUUCAAUUCAAGUCAUGCUAGGAUUUCAGUGCACCUUUUAUGGAGUCUACUCUCAGAAUUCCAGCUGUUUAGAUGUGUCACUGACCAAAUGGCAGCAUGAAAAAUGUUAAUGCAUGAGAGUAGUUAAAUAAACGUCUCAUUUGAAUUGAACAUCAAAGAAAUGAGCAAGAGGAACACCUGUCCUUACACACCAUACAGAGCAUGCAUUGAGAAAAGCUAGAAAGCUUGAUUAUUAUUUCAGGGUCAGCUUUGUCUGUUUGUUCUGCAUGGGCUAAUUACUACUACUGAUGAAAUUACUAGCUCUCACCGUUAUCAGAAUUACUGUGUUCUGUGGAAGGGUGGUAGGACAAGGGACAGGGAAGCGGAACCACAUGAGUGAAUAAUUGCAGUGAAGUUAGACUCACUUUACAAGCAUUAGCGUUUCAGUGAGUAAUCAAAUGUCUGAACUGGGUCUUGAUCCUUGAAGGCUUUUGAACCUGUGUGCUUUUCUGUGGGCGAGCAACCUACCUGAUGUUGUGUUAUGAUGUAAAUUACCUCUACAGAUAGUGCUGGUGUGCACAUUAUAGCUUGAAAAGAUUUAACCUGAAAGCCACUGACAGAAUAAAAUGGGGACCUUGCUCAAAUUUGUCCUGGUAACACAUGAUGCUUAGAAAUGUUAAAUUAAUCUGCACAAAUAUUUUCAUUUAAUUUAUAUGUAGGGACCUCAUUUGUUUCCAGAAGUUGCAGCAACACUUUGCGUUUCUUGACCUUCAGACUUGCUUUUGAAAGGCUUCUUGAAUUUACCCUUCCAGAAUUUUAUGUUUUGUGCAUUUUUUUUUUAAGCUUACAGGUAGCUUAUUCCUAAACUAUAGACACAUUUGGGGCAUUAGAGAAAAUGUCAGAUUGCUUGAGACACCGGAUGUAUUAUUUUGAACUCCCUCUCAGACUUGCUGUCAAAGCUAUUUCUUGCUUUUGCAGAGGGUAGGCAAAGCUAUGCCAUUCUUUGUUGCUUCAGGACAAGUGGACCAAUAUUGGAAAUGACAUUUUCUUUGUGUUCCCUCACAUCCCUUUUUAUUUAUGUAUGUGGUCCCAUUGGAGUUGCUAAGAUGUCUUUUGUGCCAAGAACUAAUUCAACAGAGUAGCAUAUACAACUUGACUGGCAUCCGUAGGGCUAUGAAUUUGAUGCAUUGCAUUCCUUACUAUAAGUGAUGGACCAAGAGUUUAUUCCAGAUGUGUGCUUAGUAGGCGGAGCAAAUACAUCAGCUGCAUCCAGCUUUGGCUGCUCUUGCUCUGACAGGGAGGGAUAGUACUUGCACCCAGCAUGCAGGGCUCAGCACCACGCGGAGCUGGCCACAACAUGUUUACACUGUGGUUCUCCUUAGUAUUUGUCCAAAGCUAAAAUUAUUAAUUGCCCUUUGCAUCUUUCUCUCUUGCAGAAGUUGCCUUGCAAUCUUUCCUCGUCAGGGGGCUGGUGUCAGGAGGAAGCUACGCGGGUGGAUUUCUUCUUAAAUGAGCUAUUGCACACACUUACCCUGAUAGCAGCUCAUGUCAAUACUGGAUGUGAGUGGUGGAUUAGAGGGCAAAGGGCAUGUAAAGACUCCUUCCCUCUCCAGUGCCUUCUCAUCGGAUGAUUGAUAGAGGGUGAGAGAUUGAUUGGGAAACCUGUCCACUGACUUUUUCUUUUAUUCCUUGCUUACCUCUCUCUGCUGCCAGCUGUGUUUUCAUGCCUUUCUUACUGACAGAUCAGGCACAGCCAUGACCUGCAGUCUUAGGUUUUCAAAAACAAUUGGCAGAAAGAUGAGCUCUCAUAAAGAAC